rnacentral:rRNA from 1 species
CGUGGGGGUGCUAUACAUGCAAGUCGAGCGAACAGACGAGGAGCUUGCUCCUCUGACGUUAGCGGCGGACGGGUGAGUAACACGUGGAUAACCUACCUAUAAGACUGGGAUAACUUCGGGAAACCGGAGCUAAUACCGGAUAAUAUAUUGAACCGCAUGGUUCAAUAGUGAAAGACGGUUUUGCUGUCACUUAUAGAUGGAUCCGCGCCGCAUUAGCUAGUUGGUAAGGUAACGGCUUACCAAGGCAACGAUGCGUAGCCGACCUGAGAGGGUGAUCGGCCACACUGGAACUGAGACACGGUCCAGACUCCUACGGGAGGCAGCAGUAGGGAAUCUUCCGCAAUGGGCGAAAGCCUGACGGAGCAACGCCGCGUGAGUGAUGAAGGUCUUCGGAUCGUAAAACUCUGUUAUUAGGGAAGAACAAAUGUGUAAGUAACUAUGCACGUCUUGACGGUACCUAAUCAGAAAGCCACGGCUAACUACGUGCCAGCAGCCGCGGUAAUACGUAGGUGGCAAGCGUUAUCCGGAAUUAUUGGGCGUAAAGCGCGCGUAGGCGGUUUUUUAAGUCUGAUGUGAAAGCCCACGGCUCAACCGUGGAGGGUCAUUGGAAACUGGAAAACUUGAGUGCAGAAGAGGAAAGUGGAAUUCCAUGUGUAGCGGUGAAAUGCGCAGAGAUAUGGAGGAACACCAGUGGCGAAGGCGACUUUCUGGUCUGUAACUGACGCUGAUGUGCGAAAGCGUGGGGAUCAAACAGGAUUAGAUACCCUGGUAGUCCACGCCGUAAACGAUGAGUGCUAAGUGUUAGGGGGUUUCCGCCCCUUAGUGCUGCAGCUAACGCAUUAAGCACUCCGCCUGGGGAGUACGACCGCAAGGUUGAAACUCAAAGGAAUUUGACGGGGACCCGCACAAGCGGUGAGCAUGUGCUUUAAUUUCGAAGCAACGCGAAGACCUUACCAAUCUUGACAUCCUCUGACUCCUCUAGAGAUAGAGUUUCCCCUUCGGGGACAGAGUGACAGUGUGCAUGAUGGUCGUCAGCUCGUGUCGUGAGAUGUGGGAGGUCCCGCACGAGCGCAUCUAGCCUAGUUGGCAAUCAUAGUGCACUCUAAGUUGACUGCAGUGACAUCGAGAGUGGAUGACGUCAAAUCAUCAUGC